rnacentral:tRNA from 1 species
AUUUAAAUAGUUUAAUAAAAAUAUUGAUUUGUGGUGUCAAUGAUAUGAGAUUUUCAUUUUAGAUC